CUGUGGAGUGGGGUUGAGGGGGAAGACAGGAGAUAGGGAUUUAUGUUAGAGUUUUGCUGUUGGUUUGUCUUGAUUAUAAGUCUGAACGAUACCAAAACUAUUUCAGGGGACGCCCGGGUGGCUCAGUGGGUUAAACGUCUGACUCUUGAUUUCUGCCCGGGUCCUGAUCUCAGCGUCCUGGGAUGGAGCCCCACGUGGGGCUCUGAGCUCAGCACAGAGUCAGAUUCUCUCCCUCUUUGUGUCUCUCGCUCGCAUGCGCUGUCUAGCAAAUAAAAAUAAAUACAUAAAUAAAUACAUAAAUAAAUAAAUAUCUGGUAUGUUGUACUGGGGAGGCUGACUUUCUUAUCAGGGGCUAAAUGGAGGCAUUCAAAGGGAGUGCUGGCAGACAUCGGAGAACCGCCUCUCCUCUAGCUGAUGUUCUGCACCUCUGGUCACCUGGAUGCAUAAGGAUGGGAGCCUGCAGGAGGAAGCUAGCAGGCGCCAGGGCAGCCACACCCCAGCGGGACCCUGGUGGGGGAGAGUGUGCGGCUGGUGCCAUCAGGACAACCACUGGAAGGGCUCAUGGCAGCAGUGCUUUCACAACCAGUGUGCUACUUGCUGGUACUCCGACGCCUCGCUGGCUGGCUGGCUGUCACAUGAGCAGCAAAGGUACAGAUGAAUAUACCAUGAGAUGGCUUGGGGGCACCGGAGCAGAUGUGCUUGUACAUGAGUGACAGUACAGACAGCAGGGAGCAAAGCUGCUGGUAGGUGGGCUGAGUCAGGCUGGAAUGAAACUCUGCUUUCCAUGUGAGACAUUAUGUGCUCUAGAAGCUUCUAGGAGGUUCUGGACAAAGUGCUGUCUCCCACCAUCCCUUUGCAAAAAUUCUCUUGCUUUCCAUCCUCAACCUCCUCUCUUUGUUAACUUCUCUUUUUCUUUCUCUUUCCUCCACCUUCUGUCUCUCUAUUGUCCCCUCCCCCCACCACACACCUAUAUUCCUAGGGUCUCCAGACACUAAUAUGCUCCCAAUAAAUCUACCAACUUUGAAACCCUGCCA
rnacentral:lncRNA from 12 species